UCUAUGCAAUAGAAACUAUGAAAUGCUGAAUGUAAAUCUCAACAAAAAUAAUGUAUUUUUUCCCUCUCUUUCUCACUCCUAAUGAGUGGUAAAUUCAGACAGAUAAGAGAUGAAAAACAGUGAGAGAAACUUGAAACUGAACUUACUGGACAUUAGAAAACUGUUGACCUAAAGAGAGAUUAGAAAUUGAGACAGGGAUCUAGAACCUUAAAAGAAAGAAUUUACUGCUGAGAAUAGGAAAAAGGGUGGGAAGUGGCUAUAAAAUAGUGAAAACUGCUUUACAUAAACCACAUAAAAAUCCUACUUCAUUACCCCAUAGACAUAGGGUACAUACACAAUAAAACAUUUGUAAUCUGGAUUUUGAGAGGAAAUGAGGUGCCAGUUAAUGUUGAAUUAUGCUUAAUAAAGACUUAGCUCAUGUUGUCUCAGGUGGUAUCCUUCUUGGACUUGCCUUGUCCUCCCCUUAAAGACUUAGACUAAAAGGCAAGAAAAGGCAGUAGUUUCUAUAUGUAAAUCAUCAUUAUUGGUUUAAAAAAGAAAAAGAAAAGGAUGGAACAGCAGAGCUUUACCUUCCCAGUCUUCACCAGAAUGAUCACUUGGCAUGAUGGUCCCACCACUUGCUAUGUUCCACUUUCAUUCAGCAUCCUCAACUUUGAAUCCUUUGGAAAUAGCUGCAUUUAUCUCUUGCUAAUGGCAAGGGAAAGGAACCAAUACACAUACAUGUAAACAAAGUUCCUUAGCCUUGAAACAGAAUCCGAACAAUGUGAGGAAAGGUAGAAGGAAUGAACACAAGAGCCACUCACUCAUGUGUUUAAAUCCAGCAAAGGACAGCUCUCAAACCUCCAUCCCUUGGUGAUAUAGUUUUGUUUCAAAACUCAUGCAGUAUGAAAGUGGAUGAUACGCAUCUAGAUCUAACAUACUUCCCCUGGUUCUUUUUACUUUCUGGUCUUCUCUUCUCUGUUACAUCAACAUUACAAAAUGUCUGCAGUCCACUGUCCCCCACAAGUAUGAGAAUUUCAUUCAUCAAGCAAUUUUUCAGAAUCAAGUUUUGUGCUAGAAGCUGGAGAUGCAAAUAAUACAUCACUGCUCUCCUUGAGGAGUCUAAUGUACUAGUCCUAUAUGCUAGCCUGCUAGCCUAGACUCUCAAUUUUCUUCAACCAAAUGUUUGGACUGGCAUUGGUCCUUCAAAGUGCCUGUUUGCCCUGUCAUGUAACUUUACAUCCUUAGUUCUUGAAAACAGUUCUACAUUUAAAGUUGAAGGAGUUUUACGUUUGGAAUUUGUACUGGGAGAAAGUGAUGAUGCUCUGAGUCAGAGGUACUUAAACAUAUGGCAGAUUACCUGACUUUUUUUGUGUGUUUUUUAAAGAUUUUUUUAUGUUUUUAUUUUUUAUAUUAUAGUUGAUUUACAUUGUCCUGUACAGCAAAGUGACCCAGCUAUGUUUUUAUAUAAAUACACACACACAACACACACACACACACACACACACACACUUUUUUCUCACAUUAUCCUCCAUGCAUUCCUAACCUUGUUUUGUCCCUACUGAAUUAGAUUCUCCAUGGUGGACUCUUAUCUGAGAAACUAUACCUAAAGUGAUGUUUUCAUCAAUUAACUCGGUAAAGGUCAAGAGAAUCCUACAGGAUCUAUAUUUGUAUUUUAAUCUAUUGAAGAAUUAUGUAUAAAAUAUGUUAAAAGCCUAGAAUGAAGAAUUAUUGUCCAAGUUUGGAUGUAUUGUAUCAGUUUUUCUCUUCCUGUUUCCUUGCCUAAUCACAAAUUCCCAUCAUGUGUAAUAUAUUGAGAGGAUUUCCUCUGCCAAUAUAUCGCCUUAGGUAUUUCUGGGAGAUGCAUAAAGACAGACCAUAUUUUUAGUGCAUAAAAGUAUAUAAUCUGAUUACAUAAUUUUAUAGAAUAAGGCUGAUCAUAUGUAAAUGUAUGCAAUAGAUGUUUAGUCAGAGAGUCCUAGGAAUAUAACCACAGAACAAUGGAAAAUUUGGUUCAUAAACGUAGCUUUUUUUCCGCUAGUCCCAAUUAAACACUAAAUCCCCCACCCGCCACCACAAAGGUUAUAGAUGGACUAAAUGCAAAUUUGUACCCCCUGCUGGAAUUACUGCUUUUACAAUCAACGUGGCCUCAGAAAGCUCAUCUUUACUCCAUGGAAGGCUUAGGAUUUUUAAGAUCUUACAUGUCGAAUGUCUGAGCCACCUCUGUCCUACUGCCUCCCUAUCUCUGCUUUUCGCAUUCUACAGAGCAGAGGAUACCGAGGUGGCAGAUGGGCACAGACAGUCUCAGCCUCUGCUUAACCUCUGAAGAGUGAGCUCUGUGGGUCUUGGCCAAAAAUGUUCUGACUAAAUCUGUCACAUACGAUUCUGUGGGUUUAAUCAUCAGACUUUUCCCCUCGUUCAUCAUUUCCCUAGUUCCUCAGACCUUUUCAUGCUGAGGGUGGCUUUUCACAUCAGUCUGUAUGAACCAUAAACCUCUCACAUUAAAAGUGGAAAAGACGCAGGGACUAGUUGUCUGUUCACUAAUAGGAAUGCUUUUGUGGGUUCGUGUGUCUGUGUCCUUGACUAAGUUCUGUUUAAAAGAAAAAAAGACAGGCUCUCAGACUUCUGGCCUCUCUAUGAAGUCAUCUACUAAGAGAGGCUUCCUGGUGAAGUGGUGUGACCUCUUUGAUUCAAAGGUGACUUCAACUUAAGCAUUCCAGUGACCUUGUAAAAAUUUCUUUGGAGGUUUUUUUGCUUUUUUUUUUUCCCAUCAUUAAAAUGAUGAAGUGGAAUCAUAUAGUCUUUAAAAUCCUUCUUAUUUUAUAAUGCUGUGUUUCCUUCUAAGAAAUCUGCCUUCUCUUUUUUGACUUAGUUUCCCCAUGUUUUGUUUAGUUAUCAUAUUUUCCCUAUAUCUUUAUUUAUUUGAAUGAGUAUGUUUCCUUUCGCAAGGCUGGGUGGUUUCUAUUCAAAUCUCUGCAGACUGAUUACAGAAGCAUCCUGAAGAAAAUGUAAGCAUUGACCGACAUUCAUAAAUCUCUGGCAGCACACCAAAGUUGGUUAAAGAAAUAUGAUGCAUUAUCUCAUAGGCUUAGCUAAUCUCAAAGUUAUGGGCCACCUCUGGAUGUGAGGGCUUAAUUUGGGGGCAAGUUGCAGAGUGACAAAUUAAAGCUGAUAAGAUUGCUGUUCUGCCUCAUCCUCCAAAUAUUCACAAGUUUUGAGCUGAGUCUCUCGCAGGAAGCAGGAAUCAUUAGGAAGAUAUGUUUUAUAUUACAUUUGCUUGAAAAACUUGUGAACAUGAAACAGGAAAUACUGAGAAAAGUUAUAAUCACCUGUUGUCCAAAUUAAAAUAAAGAAAUUUGAAUUCAGAAAUGUAGAUUUUAAUCUAAUUAUUAAAAAUUUGGUGUGACCAAGUUUUUGUCACUUAGGAACCAGCUAAGAGGGUGAUAUGGGAACAAUUUCUAGACAAAAUCAAUAAAAUAAGCAAAAAUACUUAUGUAGGUUUUUAAAAUAAUUCACUAAGCAUUAUUGGUUCAUUGAUUCUCAAAUGAAAAAUAAAAUCCUCAAAUGUUUUCAGAAUUAAAGAGAUGAUCCAUAUCUUUAUUGAAUUUUCUCACGUUUUCAUUUUUCUUAGUUUAAUCUAAAAAGAAUGAAGCCAUGACAAACUCUCUGGGUAGUAAAUUCUAGCUCUCCAGGUUUGUAGUAAAAUAAAAUCUUAAAGUAGAAAAGGGGGAUAUAAGAACACAUUUAGGUCUAAUUUCCCUUUCCUCAGAUAUUUGAGAUCAAAUACAUAUCUAUGAAUACAGAUAUCUAUGAAUAUUUAUGUGAAUAAUUACAUAUAACCUUUCCUUUCUAAAUGCACCAUUAAUCCAAAUGACAAUUUUUGAGGUUGACCGUUUAAUAAUAAUUUUUUUCUUUUCAAAAUGAUAAGCCAAGGAUAUAAUCAUAUUCUUGUUUAUUGUAGUAAAUGUCAUAAAACUAGCAACUGAAGAAAUUAAAUUCUUCAUUUUUAAUAUUGGAUUAAGUAGUUCUUCUCAUGGUGAGGAAAAAAAACCUAGAAAAAUAAGUAAUAUCACAAACCAGACAAACUCCCAUCAGUACCUUUCUGUUUCCCUGGGCUAGAUUGGGCUGUAAGUGCUAAACAGUGAGAGAAAGCCAUUCUGAUAUCGCAGUCAAAUAAAACAGUUAGUUAAUUUUUUCUUUCUUACUUUCGACUCUUAAAUAAUGACAGUAGUUAUUUUAGAAAAAUCAUAUUUCAUACCCUUAGGGUUAUCAUUCCAUGCACUUGGGUUAGGGGCAGGAGCAUGGACAUGGAAUGACUCUAUCUUGAUUAAGUAGCUCUUCUACAAAAAUAAGCACCGUGCUUAUGUAGCUCAACACUAGAAGUCUCAAUUUCUUCCCCUGGAAAACAAGGUUAAAAACCUCACUUCCUCUGGUAGACUGUAGUAGGGAGUGUUGUGUAAAACCUCCUGUUCAGUGCUGACAUACAGUGGUACUAAUGAUACAGACGAGGAACACCUGUUAGAUGCCAUCCAUUGGGACAAGUGCUUAAUGUUUAUUACCCACUUAGUCCUUUUCACAUAUUCUGAGAUAGAUCUUGCUUGUUUCCUCUCUCUUGACAGAGAAGUUAAGUCACAAAACUCCUAAAUCACAGAUGUGAACUCAGAACACAGAUUUGCUCAAUCCCAAGUCUGGACUCUUAACCACUCUUAACCAUCUUUUUCUCUUCCCAUUUGACCUCAGAAAAUAAUAGUAGAGUGAGUACAGAGCUUCUAGAGAGUAAAUGGGGAAAAUUAUACAUAUAUUCAACCAACAACCUCUUCGGUCAUCAUUAAUUUACCAAAUAAGCUCUCAAAUGGAAAAAUUAUAGUUUUUUUUCCAAACUUAAUGAAAGUGGACAAAGUGAAAACAUAUCUCUUUCAUGUUUGUGUUAAUGUAUCUUCUCUCAUGUGGCGGAAUUGGAAGAGAUGCAGAGCCUGGCUUAAGCACAAUGUAAACUGGUCAUAAAAACCCACAUGGAUGUGGCUAUUUAUUGCUGACAUGGUGUUGACCAAAUUGUCAUAUACAUUGGCUGCCUUAUUCAGAGGCUUGGGGAAAACCACUCCAUAUGGGCUAUAUUCCAAAGUGGUACCACUUUUUAGAAUGACUAUAGUGAGGCUUUUAACCAAAUCCUGAAACUACCUGAUUUGGAGGAAUAACCUCAGAAAAUUCUAGCAGACUUGAAACAACAUUCAAUGAUCACUAAAACUAUGGAAUGUAUAAUUGUUCCCUUAAAAUAGAGCAUAUUUUUCAGAUUUAAGGAUUUGUGGAUAUAGUUUAGAAUAUUAAUCAUGAAGUCUAUGUUUUGUUUAUAUGCCUUUGGCCCUCUUAACCCAUUUCUGCAUUUGCCUGCUGUUUCUCUCUGGUAAUUAUUCCUACUGUUGCUGUCUGUAGAAAGCCCAUGAUCUAGUACCUCCUGUCUCUUAAAUGCUUAGUUGUUAUCAAAACAAUGUGUUAAAGGCACAUAAACUUUCCAAGUUUCUUCCUGGUUAAGAAGGACUGAGAAUUUGAAAAGCUACAAGAAAAUGGACAGUUUUUAUAUUAACAGAAAAA
rnacentral:lncRNA from 1 species